rnacentral:tRNA from 1 species
GAUAUGUAGCUCAGUGGUGGAGCACUUGCUUAGUGUGCAUGAGGCCCUGGGUUCAAUCCCCAGUAGUAUCA